GAUGAAGAACGCAGCGAAAUGCGAUACUUGUUGUGAAUUGCAGAAUCCCGUGAACCAUCGAGUCUUUGAACGCAAGUUGCGCCUCAAGCCAUUAGGUUGAGGGCACGUCUGCCUGGGCGUCACAUAUCGUUGCCUGAUGCCAGUUUCCUCGUGAUGGGUGACUGUGCAGGGCGAAUGAUGGCUUCCCGUGAGCAUUGUUGCCUCAUGGUUGGUUGAAAAUUGAGUCCUUGGUAGGGAGCGCCGUGAUAGAUGGUGGUUGAGUGACGAACGAGACCCAAUCAUGUGAGACCCCUACCGAAUUUGGCCUUCAUGACCCACAUGCGUCUUUGGAACGCUCAUGACGAGACCUCAGGUCAGGCGGGGCUACCCGCUGAGUUUAAGCAUAUCAAUAAGCGGAGGA
rnacentral:misc_RNA from 1 species